UACGUAGGGGGCAAGCGUUGUCCGGAUUUACUGGGCGUAAAGAGCGUGUAGGCGGCCACGCAGGUCCGUUGUGAAAACUGGAGGCUCAACCUCCAGACGUCGACGGAAACCGUAUGGCUAGAGUCCGGAAGAGGAGAGUGGAAUUCCUGGUGUAGCGAUGAAAUGCGCAGAUAUCAGGAAGAACACCCGUGGCGAAGGCGGCUCUCUGGGACGGUACUGACGCUGAGACGCGAAAGCGUGGGGAGCGAACAGG
rnacentral:rRNA from 1 species